GGGCGACAUAGCUCAGGAGGUAAGACCGAUUGUCUGGCAGUCGGAGGGUUGCCGGUUCAAACCCCGCCCUGGGCAUGUCGAAGUGUCCUUGAGCAAGACACCUAACCCCUAACUGCUCUGGCGAAUGAGAGGCAUCAAUUGUAAAGCGCUUUGGAUAAAAGCGCUAUAUAAAUGCAGUCCAUUUACCAUUUACCAUAUCUACCGCCUUGUAGGUUCUCACUCCAACCCUACCAAAGCACAAUCUUUCAACAGCUGCAAAUUAGUAGAGUCAGGUAUGCUGGAUUAGGGCUGUAAUGAAAACCUACAGGAUGGUAGGCAUCCAGGAACAGGGUUGGCAACCACUGUUUUAAGUUAUUACAUCUCAUAGUUAUUAUUACUCUGUCAGAUGACAGCAGCGACGGUUGGUGAGCUGAAAAUUGGUGGGGCAGAAAACUUUCUGCUGAGUUGAACUAAGCUUCAGGGUAGAGAUAUUGAGAAUAAUUUAUUUGUAACAACAAAUUAUUCUUUAUUAAAACCUAAUGAAAUUCUUCUGUGAAGAAAGCACAUGCGGGUGUGUUUUUAAACUUAUUUGCACAACUGAACCCUGACAAAGUCAAACAUUAAUCCCCUUUUUGCUGAAUAUUUUGAAACUUGGCUUUUGAAGUUCAUGUCAUUUGACCUGAAUCAUCAAUAAAGAACAUGUGUAUAAUGUAUGGUAUUAAUACAUUCAAUUGUAAACAAAGACACCCAGUGUCAUUGAUUCACAGUACAAUUCAACUAUUUGAGUGCUGAUAGCUCCCCCUUGUGGAGAAUCUACUGCCUGCUAAACGUGAGUGAGUGAGUGACUGAGUCAUGAGUGAGUGAGCGAGUGAGUGAGUUACAAGCCAGGUCCAUGAGGUGCUUUGCAUCUAAAUAAAUAAAUAAAUAAAUAAAUCCACAA